CAGUCUGGACGAAGGUCGACAAAGUUAUACAGUCGCAGCUGAUAGAUAUCCGCAAAACACUUGAGGACUCCAGACGGACUAUUGGCGUACAUCGACGCGGUUUUCCAUUUGACAAGCUCUCAUGCAGAGUGUCGCAUUACUGUCUGGAUUUAAUAUCGAAAGAACUAAGGCGUAUGCGAGAUUUGAGUACCGAUGUCUACGAUCGCUGUGGUUGUGUGGUUAGAUCAACACAUCAGAUCCCCUGUGCAUGUGAGCUGCGAGCGGUGGUCGAUUCAGGUAACCCGAUCAGCCUUGACAGUAUACACCCGUUUUGGACGAAACUUGUUAUUCUCGGCGAUGGGUUGGAC